UGCGGGAUCGUCUAAUGGUAGGACGCCGGACUCUGAAUCCGGUAGUCUAGGUUCGAGUCCUAGUCCCGCAG
rnacentral:tRNA from 2 species